rnacentral:sRNA from 1 species
AAGAAAGAAGGAAGACAAAGAAAGAAAGGAAAUAAACCUGAAAAUUACAUCAAGGGAAAAUGAUGCAUGAAGUUAUUGAAUGCUUAGUGUUACAGAUGCUGUUCCCAUGGAGAUCAUUCCCAGCAACGGCACAGUCUCACCCAAGAAACGGACUCUGACUUGAGUCCUUAUCUUACUUUUGUUCAUGAGAAGAAUUUGAAUGGCAUGUGCCAACAGAUGUGGUUUGAAGCAGCCAGAAGACACACCAAACAAAUUCAACUUCUUCCAGGUCUACGACGAGCACUGGCCUUUUGCCUCAGGACUCUUGUGCUUUCCCCUCUGCCUGUGAGUGCCUCCUUUCCCUCAGACUGUCCAUCUUGACCUUGUUCAUUUACACUCAUUCUCCAGGCUUCAGAGAGUCACUCUACCCAUCUCCUAAAAACGACUUUGUGCCCUUUCUGUGGUAUUUAGGAGAUUUAAAUACUGUACAAACUCAUCACUCUCCCCAAUUCUUUGUUCAUGCUAUCCCUCCCCCUAGUAUCAUGUAGACUCAGAGGGAAGUUGGCCUGCCUUGCACACUCUGUAGUUCAGCACCCAGCACCAUAUGUACCACGUAACAGGCACUCAAAACAUGUUUAUUAAAUGAGUUCAUAAAGAGGACGAUGGAGUGUGUGCUCUGAGGGACUCAAGUCCAUGAGACUUCACAGGAAGAAUAUCAGACUGUGUCAGAAUGCUUUGCAAACAUGCCUCGCUUCCCUUUCAACUUGUAGAGCGAGCUCUGGGAAACUUUUUUUAUGCUAGCUUAAAAGUCUUAAAGUCUAUUUUCUCAAAGGCUUGCGGGAUUAAAAUCAAGCAUCUAGUGUCCUGAGAGAUCUCAGUAUUAAGUGACUUAUUUCUCCCUGUAGGAGAAAUUGCUGAUGGGGCUGUGAGAUAACCAGAACUUCAAGACUCAGCUAGGAUUUUGCACAUCCUUUGUUGGGGCAUUCUUCCAAUCUGCUUGCCACAAUGGAUACUGUUUAAGAGGAACUUAUCCUAGAGAAACUGAUAUAGAAGACUAUCAAGUCUAAGCAGAGACCCCCAUGCUUGCUUUUCCCUCUGCAAGGGGUUUGUGGUUCUGCAUAGAUGUACAAACUCCUAUGCAAAAAAAGACCUCUUUCAAGAAGGCUCCACCUAUGGUGAUCAAAGAAAUAAAGGCAAUUUAUGUUUCCAUUUUCAAGUCUUCUAAGUAACACAUAUGAAGUGUCGCAGGCUGGAAGGAAGCCAUGACCUCUCUCACCUCUUAAGUGUCUUCGGUGCCUCAAGAAACUCUUAGGGUUACUACAUUACUCCUAGAAUUUCUUCAGAAAGUGAAUGUUAUGUACACACAGAUGUUCUCACUUCUAGUACAAGCCUGGGUCUCUUUUCACACAGCUUGCCAAUAUGCUGGAUCUUUUCCACCAAAAUAACCCACACUGAAUAAAGCAAAAUUGUAGAUCCAGAGGCAGGACACUUCUGUCAGCACCCUGCACAGAAAAGUGUCCUUACCUAGUUCUGGAGUUGCGCUGUAAUACACAAAGGAACUGGAUAUUGGGUCUUCAGCAACCCACUCAUGUGUUGCGGAUGGAUGGAACCUGGGGCUCCAUACCACUAAAAUGAACUCUUGCAAGUAGGUCCAUACUAUUGGGGGAAAAAUCCUGCUGGAAGAUAAUGCAUCUGUACCCGUGAAACUGAGACUAUAUGCUGAUGAGAACUUGAGCUGCUCUGUCGGAACAUGGUCCAACAAUGGCGUUGUGGUAGGACAAUUCCGAGUGCUUGUGAGAAAACUCCAAGAAACCAAGACAAAAGUCUUGCCACCUGUUACUUCCAAAACAUGGAAUUGUUCUUGGAUUAUGCUUUCAUGGCCCUCUAAGCCCCAUCUACAGAGAUUUACCACCUGUGAUCAUCACAUAGAAAGAGAAUCCUUAAGACUCUUUGCUACUCAUGAUCUUGAGAAACAGGAAGAUUCUACUAAAAAUACCCUGAGGUGCUGGAGCACAAGCCUGGGAAACAUAAGAAAGUUUGGGUAUCAGCAAGGAGACACCAGUGUGUAAAGGCAUCACCACAUGAAUGGAGCUACAAGAGAUGGCAAAUUCCAGUACGUUUCAGGAAGGAGCUGAGUCAAUGUUUCAUGUGCAGUUACACAUACAGGCUGACUUUUCACAUCCAGAAAUGAUCUAAAUAUGCUUCGUGGGAUUCAAAAUCAGCAUCAGCUCCUCUUAGCAAAAAUCGCUUUCAUCUCUCCAAGAGCUGCUUCUGUGGAAUGUGUGGUCAUUCUUUGCUAGAAGGCAUUUGGGGAAGCCACAUCAGCCUAAAUUCUCAUGAGAAUUCCUCUUGCCUGUCAGAUACUUUAUCUUCAAAGAAUGGCACUUGACUGUUACGGGAUCCCUCCAUCCUCCAUGACAAAAUGAGAAAGUAUACAUUGGUGUUUCAACUGCUUCAGUUAUUGAGGUGACAUUUUGUACCAUGUGAUGGGAUAGGAAUGUCAUCAUGUUUCAUCUGUAUUUGUGAAAUAAAAUGUGCAACCCUCAUUUUCACUGAAAAGACAGCAGCCCAAAUUUCUGCCCUCUCACUCAAAGAGGGAAAACAUUCUGACUUAAAUUUCUUGAGGGGAUGGUGACUGAACAUUUUAAAGAUGGAUAUUGUUAUGGUUGUUGGAUGGAUUUGUUUAUAGUUUAGCAACAUUUGAUCUCUAUCUCCAGGAGAUGGUGGUAGCCAUUAACCAGAUAGUUUUCCUACUAGGUCAUUAUAAAACAGAUCAGAUUAGAGACUUGUACUCUAUACAUUAUUGGUCAAAUUCCUCUCAUUUCCAAACAUAGCCAAAACAUAAGAACAGCAAUUAUCAAGGUGUUCUAGGGAGACAAUUUUCCCAUAGGUACCUUAAACCAUCACUAGAACAAAGGGCAAAAAGUAAAGUUAAGCACCUAAGACUUAUUGCCACUAAGAACUUACUUUCCCUUCUGUUGAUGUACCAGGCAUUGCACUGAGUAUUUUACCCAUUCAUUUAUUUAGAUUUGGUUAUCUAUUCUGUGAGCAUGGGUAUUUUUGCUUACAUAUAUUUUGUGUACCACAUGCAUGCCUGGUGUUCACGGAAAGCAGAAAGGACAUGGAAUUUACUGAAACUGGAGUUAUAAGUGGUUGGAAGCCACCCAUGUAGGUACAAGGAACCAGGUCACCUAUUUAAGUGUGAGAGCAGUCAUGCUCAACUGCUGACCCAUCUCUCUAGCCACCCGUUCUUUCCCUUUAAACUGAUAACUCAGAACUAAGAAUUUCUGAGAGGCAAUUAAUUUCUGCAGAGGUAAACUUACAGGUCUCCAGCAUUUAAAAGCAGAUGAGUCCUGCAAUCUAAGAAGUGUUUAUUGAAAUGCCUUACAAAGAACAAUGGGGAAUGGCAUUUAACUAGCACAGACUACAGCAUAGGCUUUUUACAGAGAUAGUGUCUUGAUGUCUAGAGUCACUUAGAAAAUAGAUCUUCAUGUUCCACGGGUGAGAAACAGGAGGAUAAAGAGAUUAAAUCAACCAACACCACAAAUGAAAUCAAUAGCAAUGAUGAGAUUUAAACCCUUGAGCCUAACUCCAAACCCUAAUACAAUCUGCCUCAGAAGGCUGCCUAUCAGUUGUAUGAAACUGUGGACCCUGUACAAUGAAUGGCCUCUGUUUCUCAUGGCUCAUGUUCUGUGUUGUAUCUCAAUGUGUACAGACAUGACUAAUAUAAGACUGAAGACAGAACUACUUCAAAUGUGUUCUUAAAAUGUGUAUUUGAGUCCUUUGGGGAGCAAUACUUCUUUUAGUUUCUUCAAUUUGUAGAGGACCGUUGUCAUCUUAUUCCUGGCCCCUAUAGUUUAUUGUACCAGACUGCUAAGCCUGGAAAAAAGAACUGGGCAUGUGCAGAUCAUCCCAGGAGUCCUUUUCCCAUUGGAAGAUAUCGUGAUCAGGAAGAGCCUGUGUGUUUUAUGCUGCACCCCGAUUCUAUGGUUCUUAGCCACCACUGUCUCUGCACGUAACAGAAGUAUGAAUAGAAGUCCAAUUUUCAAGUUCAGAGUAUGAAUGCUCACUUGAUCGCAAGCAGCAUCCCCACAUUUUUAUAUCAGUUCUAUCAACAACAAAAGUGAUACUUCAACUUUAUUUCUGUCUGGCUUUCUCCUUUACCUUCUGUCUGUUGAUUUGAGUUAUAGAGAAAGGUACUAAUUAUUGAAUUCUUUCUAUCGCAGUAGCAACCAUAUGUGUCACAGAAGCCAGAGCAAAUGAAGUUCAAUGUUAAAAGAAAACUUGUUGCAAAUUGGGAGUUCUGAGUUAGAACUUGAAAAACGUGUUGCUAUCAGAAAGAGAUGCCUUCUUAUGCACUAUAUACCAUGAGUCAAAACCCUGUCCCCAGCAGGCCCCAAAUUACCCAUGAUAUGAGGAAUGGCUGAUGAGAACUGGAAUAAAACACAUCCCCAUCUAUUGAAGGUACGUCCAGGUGAAUGUCCACUCAUCGUCAGGGAGCCAGGUUCCUGUAGCAUCUAAAAAAGGGAGACAACGAGUAUUUGCUUUGGGAAACAGGACUGAUUUUCUCUUCUGCAGCAUAUCAGCUUCCUGAACUUACUGACCUGUAACCAUCUACACAUUUGUCCUUCCAUUCCCUCUAACACCUUUGUCAGCAGUUCCCUGUGACAAACUGUUUCUCUUAAAGUACCUAGAAAGCAAUUGUUUUCCUAAGACAGAACUGCCUUCAUAGAAUUCUAAGAAGAUGGAAUCAUUUUCAGUCAUAUCCUGGAAGUAAAUCUCUGGAAGGUGUCUGUCUGUCUUUG